GACGAACGCUGGCGGCGUGCCUAAUACAUGCAAGUUGAGCGAUGAAGAUUGGUGCUUGCACCAAUUUGAAGAGCAGCGCACGGGUGAGUAACGCGUGGGGACUCUGCCUUUGAGCGGGGUAAACCCUUGGAAACGGAACGAAAAUCCGCCAUAAUAACUUACACCAUAGUUUUUAGUUUUAAAGUUGGAAUUUGCUUAAUGCAAACACGACCCCGCGUCGUAUUGGUUGGUUGGUGGGGUAAAGGCUCACCAAGGGGUGGACACGUAGCCGACGUGAGAGGGUGAUCGGCCGCAUUGGGACUGAGACACGGCCCAAACUGCUACGGGAGGCGGCCGUAGGGAAUCGUCGGCAAGGGGCGAAAGUCUGACCGAGCAGCGCCGAGGGAGUGAGGAGGGUUGUCGGAUGGUAAAACUCUGUUGGUAGGGAAGAACGUUGGUGAGAGUGGAAAGAACAGCAAGUGGCGGUAACUACCCAGAAAGGGACGGCUAACUACGUG
rnacentral:rRNA from 1 species